CUUGGUCAUUUAGAGGAAGUAAAAGUCGUAACAAGGUUUCCGUAGGCGAACCUGCGGAAGGAUCAUUAGUGAAUUGAAUAUGUUAGCGGACCUCUUCGGAGUCCCUAGCAUCAAAUCAUAUCCAUAACACCUGUGAACUGUAAGGCUGUCUUGAAAACGAAAGUGAUUAGAGCGCCUGCCCAUUUUAUACAAACAUUAAAGUAACAAACGUAGUCUUAUUAUAAUCUAAUAAAACUUUCAACAACGGAUCUCUUGGCUCCCGCAUCGAUGAAGAACGCAGCGAAAUGCGAUAAGUAAUGUGAAUUGCAGAAUUCAGUGAAUCAUCGAAUCUUUGAACGCACCUUGCGCUCUUUGGUAUUCCGAAGAGCAUGCCUGUUUGAGUGUCAUGAAAAUAUCAACCUUGACUUGGGUUUAGUGCUCUUGUCUUGGCUUGGAUUUGGCUGUUUGCCGCUCGCAAGAGUCGGCUCAGCUUAAAAGUAUUAGCUGGAUCUGUCUUUGAGACUUGGUUUGACUUGGCGUAAUAAGUUAUUUCGCUGAGGACAAUCUUCGGAUUGGCCGAGUUUCUGGGACGUUUGUCCGCUUUCUAAUACAAGUUCUAGCUUGCUAGACAUGACUUUUUUAUUAUCUGGCCUCAAAUCAGGUAGGACUACCCGCUGAACUUAAGCAUAUCAAUAAGCGGAGGA
rnacentral:rRNA from 1 species